rnacentral:rRNA from 1 species
AUAACUAAGCGGAGGAAAAGAAACCAACCGGGAUUCCCCCAGUAACGGCGAGUGAAGCGGGAUAAGCCCAGCGCUGAAUCCGUCGGCCUUUCGGUCCGACCGGAACUGUAGCGUGCGAGACGUGGCCAGUCCAUCGGAUAGACGUCCGAGUCCCCCCGAGCGGGGCCCAUCCCAUAGCGGGUGCCAGGCCUCUGCAGGCGUCUAACUGUUGGGCCGCUACCGUCUCUGGAGUCGGGUUGUUUGGGAAUGCAGCCCGAAGCGGGAGGUAAACUCCUCCUAAGGCUAAAUACCGGCGCGAGUCCGAUAGCGAACAAGUACCGCGAGGGAAAGU